UUCUUACGGGGAGAGCAGCAGUGGAGAAUUUUUCGCAAUGGCGAAAGCCUGACGGAGCAAUACCGCGUGAGGGGAAGAAGGCUCUAGGGUUGUAAACCUCUUUUCUCAGGGAAGAACAAAAUGACGGUACCUGAGGAAUAAGCAUCGGCUAACUCCGUGCCAGCAGCCGCGGUAAUACGGAGGAUGCAAGCGUUAUCCGGAAUGAUUGGGCGUAAAGCGUCCGCAGGUGGCAAUUUAAGUCGAUUGUUAAAGCCCAGGGCUUAACCCUGGAGGUGCAGUGGAAACUGAAAUGCUCGAGUGCGGUAGGGGCAGAGGGAAUUCCCAGUGGAGCGGUGAAAUGCGUAGAGAUUGGGAAGAACACCAGUGGCGAAAGCGCUCUGCUAGGCCGCAACUGACACUAAUGGACGAAAGCUAGGGGAGCGAAUGGGAUUAGAUACCCCAGUAGUCCUAGCCGUAAACGAUGGAUACUAGGCGUUGAGAGGAUCGACCCUCGCAGUGCCGUAGCUAACGCGUAAGACCCGCUGGAGACC
rnacentral:rRNA from 2 species